rnacentral:pre_miRNA from 1 species
AGCCUCCUGUAUCCAUGAUGAGAUUUCGUCAGCGAUUAACCCUCUGGCACUGACUGAUGCAACUCCCCAGAUAAGUGAAGUG